rnacentral:rRNA from 1 species
UACAGAGGUCUCAAGCGUUGUUCGGAUUCAUUGGGCGUAAAGGGUGCGUAGGUGGCGCGCUAAGUCAGGUGUGAAAUUUCGGAGCUUAACUCCGAAACUGCAUUUGAUACUGGCGUGCUUGAGGACUGGAGAGGAGACUGGAAUUCAUGGUGUAGCAGUGAAAUGCGUAGAGAUCAUGAGGAAGACCAGUGGCGAAGGCGGGUCUCUGGACAGUUCCUGACACUGAGGCAACGGAAGGCCAGGGGAGCAAACGGG